GUGGGAGCGAGCUUGCUCGCGAUGGCGCCGGGCCAGUCGACAUCAUCGUUGGCUGAAACACCGCAAUCGCGAGCAAGCUCGCUCCCAC
rnacentral:misc_RNA from 1 species